GGAGAUGUAGCUCAGUGGUAGAGUGCUUGCCGAGCACAUGCAAGGACCUGGGUUCAACCCUCACACCACCA
rnacentral:tRNA from 1 species